UAGAUGAAUGCUCGCUGGAUAGGGCACUUGGCUGUUAACUAAGAUUUUGUAGGAUCGAGGCCUUCUCAUCUAG
rnacentral:tRNA from 1 species